CCUACGGGGGGCUGCAGUGAGGAAUAUUGGUCAAUGGACGAGAGUCUGAACCAGCCAAGUAGCGUGAAGGAUGACUGCCCUAUGGGUUGUAAACUUCUUUUAUAUGGGAAUAAAAUGUUCCACGUGUGGGAUUUUGUAUGUACCAUAUGAAUAAGGAUCGGCUAACUCCGUGCCAGCAGCCGCGGUAAUACGGAGGAUCCGAGCGUUAUCCGGAUUGAUUGGGUUUAAAGGGAGCGUAGGUGGAUUGUUAAGUCAGUUGUGAAAGUUUGCGGCUCAACCGUAAAAUUGCAGUUGAAACUGGCAGUCUUGAGUACAGUAGAGGUUGGCGGAAUUCGUGGUGUAGCGGUGAAAUGCUUAGAUAUCACGAAGAACUCCGAUUGCGAAGGCAGCUCACUGGACUGCAACUGACACUGAGGCUCGAAAGUGUGGGUAUCAAACAGGAUUAGAUACCCUUGUAGUC
rnacentral:rRNA from 1 species